rnacentral:rRNA from 1 species
GACGAACGCUGGCGGCGUGCUUAACACAUGCAAGUCGAACGGAAAGGCCCUGCUUUUGUGGGGUGCUCGAGUGGCGAACGGGUGAGUAACACGUGAGUAACCUGCCCUUGACUUUGGGAUAACUUCAGGAAACUGGGGCUAAUACCGGAUAGGAGCUCCUGCUGCAGGGUGGGGGUUGGAAAGUUUCGGCGGUUGGGGAUGGACUCGCGGCUUAUCAGCUUGUUGGUGGGGUAGUGGCUUACCAAGGCUUUGACGGGUAGCCGGCCUGAGAGGGUGACCGGCCACAUUGGGACUGGGAUCCGGCCCAGCCUCCUACGGGAGGCAGCAGUGGGGAAUAUUGCACAAUGGGCGGAAGCCUGAUGCAGCAACGCCGCGUGCGGGAUGACGGCCUUCGGGUUGUAAACCGCUUUCGCCUGUGACGAAGCGUGAGUGACGGUAAUGGGUAAAGAAGCACCGGCUAACUACGUG